rnacentral:lncRNA from 1 species
GGCAAUCACAUUAUCUCAGGGACUUGCGCAUCAUGGCGUGGCAAGAGUCUCCGAGUGCAGAAGAUCAGACCGUCCAUUCUGGGCUGCAACAUCCUCAGAGUUGAAUACUCCUUGCUGGUGAGUGAGGAGGGAAGAGAAAUAGUUGCUUGGGUGCAAAGUCAGUGCCUCCUCUAACACAACCCAUCUAACAAACUCCCACCUUCCUUCCUAGAUCUAUGUUAGUGUCCCUGGCUCCAAGAAAGUCAUCCUCGAUCUGCCCCUAGUGAUUGGCAGCAGGUCGGGCCUAAGCAGCCGGACAUCCAGCAUGGCUAGCCGGACAAGCUCUGAAAUGAGCUGGAUAGACCUAAACAUCCCAGACACCCCAGAAGCUCCACCUUGCUAUAUGGACGUGAUUCCUGAAGAUCACAG